rnacentral:sRNA from 1 species
GGAGUACAUUGCUAAUUUCAUGUUCUGACAUUAUAGUAACAGCAGCCUGCACUAUUCAAGCCAGUUUAAACUUACUUUUAGAGAAAACCAGUUAGAACACUUCAAACGUGACAAAAGUAUGGUUCUCAUUUUAUAUAUUAGAGGUAGUUUUCAUUUCAAAAUCUCGGGAGUUAUUUUGUUUGGUACAUGCAUUCAGAGUUUCUAUUAAUAAUCCCACAUCGGCUAGUACUAAACAGGCGGUAGCCUUUGGGGUGUUUAAAUAAGAAUGGACUCUCAACGUUGAAACAUACUUACCUGGAUGGGGUCUAUGGGUGAUCAUAAAGGCCCAUGGCCUAAGUUGGUAACCUCCAUUGCACACUGGAGGGGUGCCCGCUUAAGGUCUCCCUAGAUGGGAGAGCCUACAUCGCCCCUAUUAUACGAAUUCAAAUGUUUCACUAUAUGUAACUGAAGUACUGAAACCAGUUAAUUGAAAUGGAUUGGGACUAUGAUCUUAGUUGCAUUUGGUUGGAUUAGGUUUGCAAAAUCUAAGGAUCAAUAAAGGAAGAACAGGACUGACUUUUUAAAAGAAGAACAGAUCAAUGACCUCCACCGCUCAUUAUCAAAUUCUGUGUUGAAACCUCCAUGCCAAUUUUAGUUCUGUUGUUUUUGUUUUAUUUGCUUGUUAGUUUCUCUGGUUUUUCUUUCGCGGUAGUGGGUGCUGAAUCUUUAAUUUUUUGUCUGACAUUUGAGUACAUUGCUGUUGGUAUAUAUUUUUAUUGUCUGUCUCAUGAAAAGUUAUAUUGAAUGAACAAUAUAAAUCUAUGAUUCACUUGCCUAUUUUAGUUUCUUUGGUUCAUCUUUCUCGGUAUAUGUUGAACAUUAGACUGCAUUACUGAUGUCAUCUACCCAUUAUUGUCUCUUGAGAAGUUGUGGUGAGCCUUAUAUAUCUAGGUUUGAUUAAAUCGUUUACUAUUGAGUUGAACUUAACAAUUUACAAUCGUGCUGAGCUAUGUUUUAUUUUAGAAUGUUAUUUUUUUGUUGUUGUGUAUUGUGGUAUGUGAGUAAAUGCAGGAGGACAGGGAUUAGGAUUACAAAUCAUGUGAGAUUAUUAAUUUAUUAAGGUACCACGGAAAAAUUGAAGGAAUACAAAGGUUAAAAGUUAAACUGCAAGGAAGCCUGAUCUGUUGUGGAGGGGAUGAUCAAGUGACUAGAAAUCUCCGAUGGAAAACGUGUGGCUCCAAGGAAGAGGCUUUGGCCUUCAUAAGGGAUGUUUGCAUACCUCAUCCAUGGCGUCGCUCAAUCUGCCUUGACUGUUCCAUCGGCUUUAUUUCAGUAUUUCCUUGGUCAGGUGAAGAAAGGCACAAGGCCGACAUAGGCUAUGCCAUUGGGAGGACCUACUGGGGCCAAGGGAUAGCCACCAAAGCGCUCAAGAUUGCUGUGCCUCAAGUCUUCAAGGACUUUCCCAAUUUGCUGAGGUUGCAGGCUUUUGUUGACGUUGAAAACAAAGCUUCUCAGAGGGUGUUGGAAAAAGUUGGAUUCAUCAGAGAGGGUGUUCUCAGAAAGUAUAUUUGUAUUAAAGGGGUGAUUAAGGAUUCUGUUCUGUAUAGUUUCUUGUCAACGGAAGAAGUUCUUGCCGGUGACUAGAUUACUUCUGGUAAUAUUUGGUCUUGUCUGGUGCAAAUAAUGUUAGAUUCAUUGUAAUAUGUAUUUUGUGUAUAAUGCUUUCCAUGAAUUCCUGAUAAAGCAUUUUCUUUUUAUCUCAAUAUUUUGUCUAUGAGAAAGUUGAAUC